AUUCACUCUAACGUUACAGACGAUGCAACCACUUGGUCUCGAGCUCUCGUUACCAGAAUUGGGGCAAAAUGUUGGGGCUUUGCAUGGCGGCGUGUGGUCGUCGGUGCGCCACUUGACUAGGAGCUGACAGGACGGGUUGGAUUCAUUGGCCUUUUGUCGCCAUGCAUGGGUCUAGUGCGUUGAAUUAGAUUCAGACCUUUGACAGGAACUUUAGUACUCUCUCUCUCUCUCUCUCCUGAUUCUCUCUACGCAGAGAAGACCCCUUUGUGUAUAGCUUUGUGCUGAUAGGUUGUGUUUUCUCCUUGUUUUGGCUAAGGCCCGUCGUAAUCCUUGUUUGAGCUUUAUAAAUCUUCACAAUUUACCAAAAAAGGAAGA